CUUCCUGGGCUUCUCUGAAACCUUCGUCCCAGAGCGCUUUCUCUUCUGGCGUCUCCCCAUUUUUCACAUCCUCUGACGACGAAACGCCUCCUAAUAUUUCUUCUCUUUUCUUCUUCGAGAUCCUUCAUCGACUGAACGUCGCCGUACACGAUCGUCUUCAUUACUUGAUCUCUUCGACUUCUCCAGACACGUUAUGUCGACGAAACGAUAUAUCUCCCUAAAACGCUUUCUCCAGGCGCCUUUAUAUAGCAGUCGUCGAAGGUCAGGUACUAGGUGCCUCUUACUUUUUCUCCUCCACUAUUCUCUCGUGUGACUUUUUAACCUCUGUUCCGAAAAUGUCUUCUUCUGCUCCAAUUUCGACUCUCUUCGCUUCGGACGAACUGGUCAGUACGUUGUUGGGCGCUUCAUCGCUUUUGGGAUUCGUGGAAUGAAUCUGAUUUUUUUGUUGUACAGAUGAAGAGAGAAAUUGAAACGAUGAAGAUGAUGCAGUUCUUUCAGACCUCUAAAUCCAAUCUCUUGUCUGUGUUAUAAAGGAAAGAGAUCGUUCUCUUUGCAAUUUUAAAUUAGAAGAGAUAGUGGACGCCUUAAAAGACUUCAAGGCUUGGUUUGAUAUCCUCACUAUGAAUACAAGUAAAAUGGCGACUCGGAAGCUGCUGAAUUAUUGGAAGCUAAAAUCAGGAAAUUGAAGCAUGAGUAUGAGAAGCUUGCCCCUGAGAAGAAAUGCGAGGUAUCUGAUCUCUUACGAGUGAACGGGUUCGCUAGGACUCAGUUCAAGUGUAUCAAAAGCGGGUUUACUGAUAAGUUAAAGAGGAGAGACAAUGAGAUUGCUCAAGCGAACAUGAAGAUUUCGAGUCUUGCGUCUGAUCAAGAGCAGCUUUCGGUUAGCUAAUCUUGUGAAGAAUCUUGAGAAUGAUGAGAUUAUCUCGAGCUUGAAGCCUCUGACGAAUCUGAUGUAAGCCAAUCUCUCAACAAUGACGCUUAGAUCAAUUAUCGUUUUCGAUCUCCCGAACUCAAAAGCUUAAUACCAACAGGAGACGGAGAAAAUUGCGUUGACUUUCACGACAGCGAACAAAAAAAAAACAGACGCCGACCUCACCAUUUACUCAGAAUCAGACAAGAUUUAGAUUCGAAUCCCAACUAUUUUUAAGCCCAAAAAUUUCAGACUCAGUUUUUGCUUUCUCUUUAUAUUGACAUAAAAAAUAUAGCAAGUUCUUUUUGGAUCGACAUCUACAGAUAUUUUUUUUGGGUCACUUACAAA